CAUUUGAUAAGUGUCCUCCA
rnacentral:piRNA from 1 species